rnacentral:rRNA from 1 species
UACGGGGGGGGCAAGCGUUGUUCGGAAUUACUGGGCGUAAAGGGCUCGUAGGUGGCCAACUAAGUCAGACGUGAAAUCCCUCGGCUUAACCGGGGAACUGCGUCUGAUACUGGAUGGCUUGAGGUUGGGAGAGGGAUGCGGAAUUCCAGGUGUAGCGGUGAAAUGCGUAGAUAUCUGGAAGAACACCGAUGGCGAAGGCAGCCAUCUGGACCGACACUGACGCUGAGGCGCGAAAGCGUGGGGAGCAAACAGG